GAGGUUGUGGCUCAGCAGCAGAGCACUUGCCUAGCAUGUGUGAGGCACUGGGUUCGAUUCUCAGCACCACA
rnacentral:tRNA from 1 species